AUGAAAUUCUUCUCAUCUCUUCCCAGAACAAUGUGUCUUCAGAAAAAGAAAAAAAAAAGAAAAGAGAAAGAAAAGCACCUCCAAAGCACAAAACCAGAAGAUGGAAGGAAGAAGAAGAUGGGCUGGAAAUGUGGGGGAGAGAGAAAGAGAAAUCAAGGGACUAAAAAUAUUGAUCUUCUCUCAUCCUCUCUGAUUGGUUUAUCAGUGAAGGUCUCCUUGGUCUACAAGGAACCUGACUUGAGUGAGGCACAGUCAGAUAUGAUGUAGCAGCAUUUCUCUGGGCAGUUGCUCUGCUGGAAAUAUGAUGGACCUCCUCCAAGUGUAAUCUGCCUUCAACAACUGGAUGGCAUCACAAGUCUCGAGUUUAUCAGCCCUGUAAGUUCUUUAAUUUUCAAGGUCACUAGUAAAUCCUGUGCAACAUUUUGAUGUGAUUGUUGCUGGGAAUACAAAUUGCCGGUUUCUACCAUAACUAGCAAUCAA
rnacentral:lncRNA from 1 species